rnacentral:rRNA from 1 species
CGGCCACAUUGGGACUGAGACACGGCCCAGACUCCUACGGGAGGCAGCAGUGGGGGAUAUUGCGCAAUGGGGGAAACCCUGACGCAGCAACGCCGCGUGAAGGAUGAAGGUCUUCGGAUUGUAAACUUCUUUUAUUAAGGACGAAGAAAGUGACGGUACUUAAUGAAUAAGCUCCGGCUAACUACGUGCCAGCAGCCGCGGUAAUACGUAGGGAGCAAGCGUUGUCCGGAUUUACUGGGUGUAAAGGGUGCGUAGGCGGCUUUGCAAGUCAGAUGUGAAAUCUAUGGGCUCAACCCAUAGCCUGCAUUUGAAACUGCAGAGCUUGAGUGAAGUAGAGGCAGGCGGAAUUCCCCGUGUAGCGGUGAAAUGCGUAGAGAUGGGGAGGAACACCAGUGGCGAAGGCGGCCUGCUGGGCUUUAACUGACGCUGAGGCACGAAAGCGUGGGUAGCAAACAGGAUUAGAUACCCUGGUAGUCCACGCUGUAAACGAUGAAUAGUAGGUGUGGGGGGUCUGACCCCUUCCGUGCCGGAG